rnacentral:rRNA from 1 species
UACGGAGGGUGCAAGCGUUAUCCGGAAUCAUUGGGUUUAAAGGGUCCGCAGGCGGGUAAAUAAGUCAGAGGUGAAAUCCGGCAGCUCAACUGUCGCACUGCCUUUGAUACUGUUUAUCUUGAAUUUUAGUGGAGUGGGCGGAAUAUGUCAUGUAGCGGUGAAAUGCUUAGAUAUGACGUGGAACACCGAUAGCGAAGGCAGCUCACUAACUAUGAAUUGACGCUCAUGGACGAAAGCGUGGGUAGCAAACAGGAGUAGAUACCAUGGGAGUCCACGCCGUAAACGAUGAUUACUCGUUGUUGGGUCUUCGGACUCAGUGACUAAGCGAAAGUGAUAAGUAAUCCACCUGGGGAGUACGAUCGCAAGGUUGAA